rnacentral:rRNA from 1 species
UACGGAGGGUGCGAGCGUUGUUCGGAAUCACUGGGCGUAAAGGGCGUGUAGGCGGUCCGCUAAGUCUGAUGUGAAAGCCCGGGGCUCACCCCCGGAAGUGCAUUGGAAACUGGCGGACUCGAGUCCCGGAGAGGAGAGUGGAAUUCCUGGUGUGGCGGUGAAAUGCGUAGAUAUCAGGAGGAACACCGGUGGCGAAGGCGGCUCUCUGGACGGUGACUGACGCUGAGACGCGAAAGCGUGGGGAGCAAACAGG